rnacentral:lncRNA from 1 species
ACGGGGCGGCCGGCCAGAGGGGGUCGCGGCCUGGCGCCGCAGUGGGUCCCGCCAUCGGACGCCUCGCCGGAGGCGCGGGCUGCGCGCGAUGAGGGAGAGCGCCGAGCUCCGGGCGCCAAGAACGUGGGCCCGCGGGUGAGUCAGCGCGGCAGGCGGUGACCCCGGCCGGCCUUCUGUGAGGAGGGGACCCCGGGAGGACCCUGGGGAGGGUUUCUCGGGCAGGACCUGGGGUGGGCGGGCGCAGGGGCAGUUGGAGGUAGGACUCUGGAGGCUGGCGGUCUGGGCAGGAGGACCCUGGUGAGGGAGGACCCUGGGGGCCUCUGCGGAGAGGGGAGGGGGUGGGGGAGAGCAUCCGGGAGGCAGGGAGGAGGGGGCUCUGGGGAGGGAGCUGGGAGCUGACCGGGGUUUAGGGAAGGCGCUGGGAGGUGCUGCUGGUGGCCACCGGGCGUGUUGGCACACGGGGUUCCUAGUACGAUUCCUUUGGAGGAAUAUUUACAUAAAUUAGACGAACAUAGAGGAGUUAUUUGCCUUACGUUGUAAAACAGCAGAGCACGCUCCCCUUUAAUUACGCCUGACACCUCUGCCAGCGUCCUGUUCUUGGACAGGCGGUCACCCAUUCAUCCCUUCAACAAGAACAGGCACCCAGAGGACAGAGGUUCACACGGCAGAUGUCAGACUCUCAGACACAGCGAGGGACUCCCGCAGGCCCCCCUGCACUGCCCUGCUUCACGUGGUGGAAGAAGAAAAGGGAAGUGGGAUUCAGGAGCACAGGGCCACAGCUUGCCUCCUCUCCCUUGGCGUCUUUCCUUCCAGCUGUGGGCCCCCACCUUCCCCUUUUCUUCUCUGUCACUAUAGUGUUUUAGGGUCCAUCCCUGUGUGUUUAUUUUCUUAGAUUUUUUUGGUUGUUACAGAAAACCAGCUCAAAGUGGAUCUUACAAAUGAGGGCAUGUAUUGAUUGGCUCCUGAGACUGCUAAGUGUCAAGCGUCACCUCUUUCACCUGGCUGUGGACCAGCGUGGUGCAAUGCAUGUACAUCCUACUGAUGUUAACACCUGGGCCCUAGGACUGACCUUUGCCCACCUGAACUGGGUCAGGGACCAAUAGAGGCAGGAACCCCUGCUUACCCAAGGAAAGUGAGGGUCUGGGACCAGAAUGACAGAUGGAGGCUGGCAGCAAAAACGGGGCGGGGAUGUCUCCUCACUACCUGGGGAGAAUUUUCAUGCACUUUCUGCUCCCAGGAGACAUAAGACAGGAGAGAGAGGAGAGCCCUUCCAAAAGAGCUCCCAUAGCCCUGGCCCACUUCACCUUCUGGAAGCUCCUGGAGUACUACUGUCCUGGGCUUGCUCCCCCUGUGGCCACCCUGCUCCUCUCCAGGGGUAAAACACAUUCAGUGACCAACUUGGAACCCAGCGUGCCUUCCAGCAUCCUCAGGCCUGGGCUGUACCCUUCAUCUAGCAGCUGGGCAGGAGUCUGGACAGCUGGCACAGAAGCCAGUGGUGAGAAGAGAGCCCAUGGAAACCCUGCAGAGAGUGAGAAUGAGCACAUAUCUCACCUUUCACUUCACAGGCUUGGGGCAGGACUCCCUGGGCAUGGAGGACAAUCAGGGCCUGCCUCUGUCUGUCCUGCACCUCCAGCAUCCAAGGACAUGCACCCACAGUGUGGGUGGCCCAGGUGGAGGUGUUGUGUACCAAGGUAAGAACUCAGGCCUGCGAGUGGUAGGUGGGCUGACAGACUGGGUGUCUCCACCAGCUUGGAGUGGUUAGGAGGCUGUCCUUGCCCCGACCCCUUUUUAAUUUGGGAGGCACUCAAAGGUCUUUACAAACCUCACCUUGUUCCUUUUUCCUGAUUCUGAGAGUGUGUCGGGCAGCUGAGGAAUCUGCUUAUUCUACUAAAGAUUUGGCAGUCAGCAUGGCUAGAAACUUUUGGCCCAUGUGUGGAAUCUCACCCAUCAGCACACCCUGUCCACAAUGAGCAAAAGGAAGCCAUGUCAAAUGUCAAGGUGGAGACGCUUUGCUCUUCCUGUAUCCUCUCAGGAGGAAUAGCCUCAGGAGAGGUGUCUGGGCCCACAGAGACGUAGAGCCACACACUAUCCCAGAUCCACUGCAUGGCCCAGGUCUGGGCCUUUCUGCACUGUGCUGGGGGUGGAGUACAUAAGCCCAGGUUCUUGGGGGGUGGGGUGGGAGCAGUUUUUUUCAAGUGAGCAGCUUGUCAAGAAUCACUGAGGGCAGAGACAGACAGGAAUCCACAUGCUUCUGGUUUUCCCUCUCUCUUGUGACUGUCCAUCCUCUUCUGGGCAGAGCGUCCCCAAAGAGCACUGUAGCCAUGGAGCUCUGUAGUCCCCCAGCUCUGGACUUAGAAGGUCUGCUGCCCUGUGCACCAGCAACAGGCCUUCCAUGUGCACUGGCACCAUACUGAGGCAGAGUCAGAUGCAGGAGCAACCUUGGACCCUGAAUCUGACCCACAAAGCUUUAGCUGCUGACCCCAGGUCAACAGCACCACAGGUGGGCAGCUCUGGAGAGGGGCUGGGGGCAGGGAGCGUCAGUGUGCAUGUCUCCACCAGUUUAUUUUUAGUUGUGUUAUGUAAGUGGCUUCAUCUCAACGUCACGUAGGAAGGGGGGUCUCAGAUUUAAUUGCAGGAUGACAGCCUUUGCAUCUCAAGCAAGCUGUUCCCCUGGCAAGGCAGCACAGUGAUUGGGAGUUUUUGCUCGACAGAAGGUCCUUUAUGAAGUGACCACCCAUCGAAGCCUUAACCUGUUUUCUUCUCCAUCUUCUGCUGACCUGCCCAGCCAGCUUCAGCUGAGCUUGGUCUGAGAGGGUAGUCCUUUGCGGAAAUCACAGGGGACUGGGAAGGGAUGCUGACUGGCUCGCUGGGGACACUGGCUCCUCAGCCUGAAGCUUCGUCUCUCUCCAAGGGAGGGGUCCACCCAGUCAGACUUACUACUCCCUUUUCUCACCCCUGGAUUGAGCACUUGUAAUCAGUAACCAGAAAGUUUGAGAGCAGUAGAGGCCAGAAGACACAGGAGCUGGUCUGCAUGUUUCCAGGACAGAGUCAGGAGGGUCCUCCUCUACAUCCUCCCCACCCUUGCUACCCAUUUCCUCCCUGCACAACAGGUCCCUUGACCAGGUCACUAGGCAGAACUGUGUGGGGAGCACUGUUUUCCUGGUUCCUGAACCCACAGGACAGUUGGCUGCCUUCUUCAGACCCGCCGACCAGCCACUUAAUCAGCAAGAACACACUGGGCUGGGUGGGGAGUUCUCUGCCAGCAGCAGGGCUGUCACAGCUGCCUCCAGCACAUUCAGCUUUGUCCAGCAUGCAGGGCAGGGCCCCAUUUCUGUGUUAGGCCAUUGCCUGCCAGGGCAAGAAGGACAGGGUCAGACAGGGUGUUGGCAGGCCUAGGGUGCAACACAGGGUCAAGGAGUCAGUUCCAGGAGCCAUUUCCUCUGCAUGGCAGGAUGGGGCUGCUGCAUAGCCCUGUUGGGAGGAGUCAGGCCAUGGAGGGGCAUGAAGAGUCCGGAGAACUGGACCUAGAGCUUAGUGAGCCCGCCGUGUGUUAGGGUUAGACAGGACAUGAGGAACACUCAAUUGUUGCCCAGAGAGUCGGGUCAGAGGCUAUCCUUUAAAAAGUGAGGGUGCCUCAGGGAGGUGGAGCCCAAUGGACUAGGAAUCCAAUGUCACUGUCACUGCCAGGUGACAAGGGCAGUACCAGCAAGAAGUCACGGUGACAGCAUGGACCCUUCAUGUGACAUGACAAAAAGGGCACAUUACCUAUUCCAUUUCUUCCCUAAACGCCAAGUACCUGUCCAGUCUGAGAAAAACAGGUAAAUGCCAUCAGAGGGCAGGCUACAGAAUCCAUGACCACUGCCCUCAACUUGUCACCACUGUCAGAGACAAGGGAAGUCUGCAAAACUGCAGGCCCACAGCGGCUCCAGGAGACAGGAAAACUAAAGGUCAUGAGGGAUUCUGGACAAAAAGAAGACACAAGGUAAAAGAAAUCUGAAUAAGCUAUGGAUUUCAGUUAAGCCUAAUGGGUCAUUAUUGCAUGACAGUGAGGGAGACUUUACAGUAAGUGUGCAAAUAUAAAACUGGUGUGGGAUUAAGCCUGCUAAAAGGAGGCAGCAGUGUGGACACAAGCCCCCAGUUCGCCUGCACUCCACCCUGGAAGCUGCCAGACCCUGCAUCCCCUCUCUUUUACUGUGUGAUCAGAAGUUGGAGCAGUGGCCCCUGUGGUCCUGUACUGCUAGACAGACAGCACCCUGGGGGUAGCACUCUGCAAAGGGGUCCUGUCCAGGAGGUACAUGGGGCCUCAGGGUCUUGGCCUUGCAGCUCACAAGACCUCAGGUCACAGGGCACUAGCUGUGGUUCCAG